rnacentral:misc_RNA from 1 species
GUACACACCGCCCGUCAAGUCACGAAAGUCGGUAACACCCGAAGCCGGUGGCCCAACCCUUGUGGAGGGAGCUGUCGAAGGUGGGACUGGCGAUUGGGACUAAGUCGUAACAAGGUAGCCGUACCGGAAGGUGCGGCUGGAUCACCUCCUUUCUAAGGAGCAUCUGGCAUCAGGUCGUCCCGUCGUGGGGUGGCUGUGGUGUCCAGGCCCGUUGUCCCUGCCGAACGAGUGGGGGACGGUGCUCGAGGGUGGAACAUCGACUGUGGCCGGCUCUGUGAGCUGGUGGCGCCUAGUACGCCAGGCCUCUUCGGGGGUUCUGGGUGGGAACGGUGGCUGCUGGGGAUCGGGUCGGCUGGGCACGCUGUUGGGUCCUGAGGGAACAGCCGUCAUGGUUGUUCGUUCAGGGUCGCUACGCACGCGGUCUGCACCUGUGGGUGUGGGGUGGGUGUGGGUGGCUGCGGGCUGGUACCGCUCAGUCAAACCGGCUGACAUGUGCUGCGCUGUUGCGUGGGUGGGUGUGGGUAGGUGCUGGGGUGAGGGUGUCAGAGCCGGUCGUAGCUUGAGAACUGCACAGUGGACGCGAGCAUCUUUUAUUUGAAUGAUCUUUGUGGUCAAGUUUAUAAGGGCGCACGGUGGAUGCCU